rnacentral:rRNA from 1 species
GACGAACGCUGGCGGCGUGCCUAAUACAUGCAAGUUGAGCGAUGAAGAUUGGUGCUUGCACCAAUUUGAAGAGCAGCGAACGGGUGAGUAACGCGUGGGGAAUCUGCCUUUGAGCGGGGGACAACAUUUGGAAACGAAUGCUAAUACCGCAUAACAACUUUAAACAUAAGUUUUAAGUUUGAAAGAUGCAAUUGCAUCACUCAAAGAUGAUCCCGCGUUGUAUUAGCUAGUUGGUGAGGUAAAGGCUCACCAAGGCGAUGAUACAUAGCCGACCUGAGAGGGUGAUCGGCCACAUUGGGACUGAGACACGGCCCAAACUCCUACGGGAGGAAGCAGUAGGGAAUCUUCGGCAAUGGACGAAAGUCUGGCCGAGCAACGCCGCGUGAGUGAAGAAGGUUUUCGGAUCGUAAAACUCGGUUGGUAGAGGAGAACGUUGGUGAGAGUGGAAAGCUCAUCAAGUGACGGUAACUACCCAGAAAGGGACGGCUAACUACGUG